AACAAAAUUGUUUCUAUAAAUUUCCAAAGUGUCCAGCUAUCUCACAUUUUAAAAUAGUGCUGACUUGGCAAUGUUUCAAUAAUUCCACCCACAAAACAACUAUGAAAUAAAUAUAUUUAACUACUAAAAAAUGUUCAUCUCUAAAAACAUGAAAAAUGUAGAAUGUGUUAAUAAAGCAUCCCACUAAUAAAAUUAUUUAAAAUUUAAUUAUAAAUCUUUUUCACUAUUUUUGUAAAAGCAUUGUAUUUAUCAAGUAGAAACUGAGCUGGUUAUUUCUUAGUUAAGUGUUCAUAAUAUUGAGUAUAUUGUGGGAUAAAUAUAUUUUAAUCAUAAUGAUCGUCCACAUUAAGAACUGACUAGGGGCACCUGAGUGGCUUGGUUGGUUAAGCUUCCGACUCUUGACUUUGGCUCAGGUUAUGACCUCAUGGUUCUUGGGUUUGAGCCCUGCGUCAGGCUCUGAGCUGGCAGUGCAAAUCCUGCUUGGCAUUCUCUCUCUCCCUCUCUCUCUCUCUCGGUGCCUCCUCCUUACCUCUCUCAAAAUAUAUAAAUAAAAUAAACUUAAAAAAAACCAAAAACUGACUAAAUCCCAUAUGAAACUUUUCUCUAAGUAAUCCCAAGUUUUCAUCCUUUUACUCCUUCUGUGUAUCUUCUUCUUUUCCUUCCCUUGUUCCUUCUCUUCCUUAUUCUCUUCAUUCUUCUUCUUAUCUUUUCCUUCUAUUUCUUUUCUUUCUCCUUCUUUCCUCCUUAUUCUUUUUAUUUUUCAUCUCCAUAAUAGAAACAUGUACAUUUUUUAAAAGGUGAUUAGCUACCUUGUUGACAGGAAGUUCUCCUAGUACAUUAAAAGCAAGCUAAAUGUUUUGCAUGAAUCACAUAACAAAGGUAGGUGAAUAAAGAUGGUAUAUUGACCAGGAACAUAAAUGAAAAAAAUAAAAGCUAAUCAAAGAUGACAUUUAAAAAAAUUCCAGUGAUAUCUAGUAGUUAGAAUCAGAAGUUUCAACCAUCACCAAAAUAUAGGCUAUAAAAAUUUGGACAGUUUUUGUGGCUUUUUCAUUAAAGUUGUCAACAGUUUCUUUUUGAAACCCAGGCAACAUACAGCAUUUCAAAUAAACAUUUCAAAUCAUUUCAAAAAUAAUUAAGACAAUUGUUUAUUUGAACUCAAUAUCAAUCAAAUAUGAAAUGGUUAUAUAUACUUGAAAGGAAAUAGGCAGAAAUAAAGAUGAUAUAUGGAGAAGAAUAAAACAUGAUACUUGAUAUCUUCAGAAUAAAACAUGUUGCAUUCACACAAAGAAGAUGAUGUAUACAAAGACAAUAAAUGCUGAAAAAAUAGAUGUUUUGAGAGGUAGAUUAAACACAUACUUAACCAAAUAAAAUAAAAAGAGUGAAUAUUGUACACUUAGAAGAUAAUUCUAGAAGUUACAGUAAUAGACUAAUAGAAAUUCCAUUAUUCCAGAAACUAAAGCAGGUAAAACAGAAAUGAGAAAAUAAUUAUAAGAGCAAGGGCAUAAAAAUAAAAUUUCAAAAAAAAGGGAAUAUACGUGAAGUUUCCAUAACUGACAAAGUUCAGUUUUCAGAAUCUAAAGAACACUUAACAAAAGAAAUAUGAAAUAUUCUGCACAAAGUACAUUAAUGCAGAGUUUUGAAAGACAGAGAGUAAUAGAAUAUUAAAAUUAUGUUCAAAGAAAAAAUCCAAAAGUUAACCACAGACUUUGAGAAAAUAUUUGCUGAACACAUACAUUUUAACAGACUUGUAUCUGAAAUAUAUAAACAACACUUAAAACUUAGUAAUAAGAAGACAAAUAAUUCGAUUAAAAGUGGGCAAAAAAUCUGAGCAGACUCUUCCAAAAGAAGAUAUAGAAAUGGUACAUAAGCAUGUGAAAAUUUGUUCAACAUAAUUUGUUUUAGGAGGUUAAGAUUAAAACAACAAUGAGAUACCCCUACACACCUAUUAAAAUGGCUAAACAUUAACAACAACAAAAUGGCUAGACAAACAAACCCAAAAAAAUGGCGCUACCAAUGGCUAGCAAGGAUAUGGAGCAACAGGAGCUCUCAUUCACUGUCAGGGCAAUGAAAAGUGGUACAACCACUUUGGAAAACAAUUGGAUAGUUUCUUACAAAGCUAAAGUUAAUCCCACCAUGCAAUCCACUAAUUGUACCUCUAGGUAUUACAUAACCAAAUUGAAAACUUACUUCAACACAAAAAUAUUUGCACAUAGAUAUUUAAAUUAGCUUUAUUUAUAAUCACCCAAAACUGGAAGAAACCAAGAUUAUCCUUGAAAAAGUGAAUAUAUAAAAACAAAAACUGGUACAUCCAUACACUGGGAUUCUAUUCAGUGGUUUAAAAAAGGAGCUAAUUCUACAAAAACAUGGGUGAAUCUUUAAUGCAGAUUAUUAAGUUACACAAACCAAUCCUAAAAAGACUAUUUACUACAUGAUCCCAUUUAUAGGAUAUUCUAGAAAAGGCCAACCUAUAGAUACAGAAAAAAGAUGGGUGGUUGCCAUCAGUUGGGUGGGAAGAGGAAGGGAGGGUUGAGUAGAUAAAGUACCAGGUAUUUUUAGUGUAGUUGAAACUAUUUAGUAUGAUACUAUAGUUAUGGAUACUAAGCAUAUGUGACAUGUAUGUCAUGUAUAAGUUAAUGCGUCACCAUAGAACAUUACCUCACACCAAGUGACCAUUAAUGUGUGUGAAUUAAACGAAAUCAUUUUGUAGGCCAGGAAAUUACAGGAUGGAAUGCACAAUAAGAAAAACCCAAUUUAACAAUUAAGUGAAUGGAUGGUAGAUGAGAGUCUUAUCUCCCCCUGUCAGAGUGGGAGUUCAUAUGAGGUCAAGAAAGAGCAAAAGUUGUUGAUGAUUACUAACAUAAAAAUUGUUAUCUUUGGUAUGAUAUUGACUAGGACGAUGCAUAAAGGAACUUAGUGGAGUGUUAUACAUGUUAGAUGCCUUUAUUAGGUGAUGACUAUACAGAUGCUUACAUAUGUACAAAUGUGUCAUUAAAUAAAUAUUUAAAUUUAUUUAAUUUCUUAUUAUACUUCAAUUAAAGAAAAUAUGCAAAAAUAAGUGGGGGAAAAGAUAGAACCAAGGAAAUAAUUAACUUGAAGAUAUAUCUGAAAAAUAAAUAAAACCUAGCUUAAGUUAUAGAAAUAUAAAAGCGUAUAAAAUGCACAGUUACAGAUUCAAAAAGCCCUAAAACACUAAGCAGCAAAUACUCAUUUGUUAGGAAAAACUGACAAAAAUGGAGACAAUAUGGAAAUUUAAAAAUUAGUACAGGGUAGUUUGAUUGACUUCAAAUAAAUAACACUUGCAUUGAAAUCAGAUUUUUUAGGAACAAUGAAAGCCAGGGUCAAUAUAAUGAUAUUUUUCUUAGUAAAGAAAAUACUUGCUAGCCUAGAUUCCCUACUAAAGAAAAUAUUUUUCAAACAGAAUAAAAGGAAGCUUUUCAGACAAAGGUACAGAAAUAAUUCAUGAACAGUACAUCUGUACUUACAGAAAUAUAAAAGGCAGAGAGAAAAUUAUCCCACAUGGUUAUGAGAAACUUGAAAUGAAAAGGGAAUCACUUAUAAUAGAAAAUACAUUAGUUAAGGGGCACCUGGGUGGCUCAGUUGGUUAAGUGUCCAACUCUUGUCUUGACUCAGGCCCUGCAUCGGGCUCUGCACUGACAGCAUGGGGCCUGCUUGGGAUUCUUUCUCUCCAUCUGUCUGCUCCUCCCCAGUGCUCACUCACUCUCUCUUUCUCUCUCUCUCUCUCAAAAUAAAUAAAUAAACAUUUAAAAAACAAAGAAAAUAUAUUAGUAAAUAUAUAUGAUCAUGACUACAUAGACAGCAAUAAUGUCUUAUGUUCUCUAUCUAUAUAAACGAUUAUUUUAUCAUAUUAAUAGGAAGAAAAAAUUACACUGUCCCAGUAUCCUUUCAUUACCUGGGAAGGGUAUAAAGAUGCCAGUAACAUUAUAUUUUCUUACAUCAAGAAUACAAUCUUAUACACUUUUUCUCCAGGUCACCAUAGUUUAAAACAGACUUAACUCUUCCACUACUAUAAAGCUGAAGAUAAUACAUAAAGCGAUGACAAUGUUUUGGUCUUGUUUUAAUUUAUUAGAGUCAAGGAGCUGAGUAGUAGACAACUUCAAAACUAAGAGGAAUACACUUCUUCCUUCAAAGAAUUUGCCAAUCUUCAUCCAGGGAAAUAGAGACUGAAUAGAAAGCAGUAGUUUGAGGACUAUAGAAGGCUCUCAUGGCUGGGGUGACAGAAGUUGGAAUUCUAGGCUGUAAAGAAGACUAGUAAAAGAGAGGAGAGAAAACUGCAGAGAACCAGAGAGAUAAUAGCAUGAGAAAGACUCCACCUGACAUUGCGGAUUUUGAAGAUAUAAGAAAAAUAGAAAGUCAAGGGGUACAGCUGCCUCUACAAGCUGAAAAUGGCCUCCAAUUUGUGGAGGAAGCUCCUUUCACUCCUAUAUUACUCUAUGCUGAUGUCAUAAAUCAAUACAGAGUUGCCAGUUUGCCUAGAUGCUUCACCUGGGUUUGAACACACUUUCUGCUGGCUGGCAAUGGUGAUGCCAUGAGCAACUUUGGAAGCACCUGUUACAACCACAUUUCCCAGUGAAGGUUUCUAGGUCCACGUCUUGGAUUCUAAAAUCAGAGAAGCUAAUUCAGAUGUGUGAUGACGAGGACUCUCAUGGAUGGGGUUUGGGGACAGAUAGAAAGAAUGACAACAUUUCCACAGAAUAGAUCACAAUGAGCUUUGUCAACAUAAAAGUGGGGAUGUAACUGAUAUUUAAUAGCUCAAAGCUUUAUGCUAAGCAUAUAACAAAUAAAAACUUUCAUUUGUCCUUUAUAUUUCCCCUGCUGGAGAGCAAACUACAGUUUGCAUCCAUCAAAUAAGAAUGAAAUUCAACACCUUACCUUUCAAUAAUAUUUAUUCAUGGAUUCCACUCUCCCCUCAAUAAUACAGACUCCAGAGAUUUAGAGUUCUUUCUUGUAUGUACUGAGUAAUGAAGGGCAAAGUGAAGAAAGGAUGAAAUGAAUACAUAAGGGAAUGAAAGAACGACCAAAACAGCAAUAUUCACCUUAUCUGGUUCCUCUGCUGGCACUAGUAAACUACUCAUAAUGUUCUAACGCAUGGUUUCCUAAGGAAAAACUCUAUAAAAGCCUCGAUCACCAGGUGGUGUAAAAUAAAUUUUGAAAUGAUUCAAGGUUUUUCUGAAACUUUUCCAGAAACCUUUUGCAGGUGUUUUUAAUAGAGA